UAAAGCUACAAAGAGCUAAUGGGGAAUGCCUAGGUACUAGCAGCCGAAGAAGGACGUGCAAGUCUGCGAUAAUCCACGGGGAGUGGACAAGACACCAAUUGAACCGUGGGAAUCCGAAUGGGGAAACCCUCUAAGGUAAAGCCUUAGAAUCCACAAAUGAAUCAAUAGUUUGUGAGAAGGAAAGCCUGUGAACUGAAACAUCUUAGUAACAGGACGAAAAGAAAAUAAAUGAAUGAUUCCGAGAGUAGCGGCGAGCGAAAUUGGAGGAGCCUAAACUUUAUGUACGAGAUAGACUGCAAUUGUUGUGCAUAGAGGGUAGUGGGACUUAUAGAAUAAUUUGCAGAUUAUUCACAGAGUUACAAAACUUUUAAAUAGAUGAAUACAACUGGAAAGUUGAGCCAUAGACGGUGAUAGCCCGGUAAUCGAAAUUUAAGAGACUCUGAUAAGGAUCCCGAGUAAGGCGGGGCACGAGGAACCCUGUCUGAAUCCGCCAGGCCCAUCUGGUAAGGCUAAAUACUGACUAGUAACCGAUAGUGAACGAGUACAGUGAUGGAAAGGCGAAAAGAACAGUGAGAAGCUGAGUGAAAUAGACCCUGAAACCGUUAGCUUACAAACAGCUAGAGCACUAUUAAUAGUGUGAUAGCGUUCCUGUUGAAGAAUGAGCCGGCGAGUUAUCUUUAGUUGCGAGCUUAAGUGGAUAAUACACGGAGGCGAAGGGAAACCGAGUCUGAAAAGGGCGAACAUAGUAACUGGAGAUAGACCCGAACCUUGGCGAUCUAACCAUGACCAGGAUGAAGCGUAGGUGAUACUACGUGGAGGUUCGAACCGACUGAUGUUGAAAAAUCAGCGGAUGAGUUGUGGUUAGGGGUGAAAUGCCAAUCGAGCCAAGAGCUAGCUGGUUCUCCCCGAAAUGCGUUUAGGCACAGCGUCUGAUUUAUCUUAUGGGAGGUAGAGCACUAGUCUGGUGCGGGCCGGGUAUUCCGGUACCAAAUCAUGUUAAACUCCGAAUGCCCAUAAUGUUACUGUCAGGCAGUGAGGCUACGAGUGAUAAGGUCCGUGGCCAAGAGGGAAACAGCCCAGAACGCCAGUUAAGGUCCCUAAUAUAUGCUAAGUGAGUAAGGAGGUAGAAUUACUCUGACAACCAGGAGGUUGGCUUAGAAGCAGCCAUUCCUUGAAAGAGUGCGUAAUAGCUCACUGGUCAAGCGACUCCGCGCCGAAAAUAUGACGGGGCUAAGCAUAUAACCGAAACUGCGUCAUAUAACUUGUUAUAUGGGUAGGGGAGCGUUCUGUUGUAGGUUGAAGUUAGACCGGAAGGACUAAUGGACGAAGCAGAAGUGAGAAUGUCGGCAUAAGUAGCGAAAACAUUGGUGAGAAUCCAAUGCACCGAAAACCUAAGGUUUCCCACGGCAGGCUCGUCCGCGUGGGGUUAGUCGGAUCCUAAGGUCAGGCCGAACGGCGUAGCCGAUGGACAUCAGGUUGAUAUUCCUGAACCGAUUAUUUAUCGUUAUCAGAAGCGGAGGGACGCAGGAGGAUAUGCAUGCAAGCGAUUGGAAGUGCUUGUCGGAACGUGUAGCCAGACAGGAUAGGAAAAUCCGUUCUGUCGUUAAAGUGAGACGUUGUACGGGAGGGUCCACGGACCCGAAGAUGUUGAUUCCACACUGCCGAGAAAAGCUUCGCUCUCGAGAUAAAUAACCGUCCGUACCGUAAACCGCCACAGGUAGGUUGGUAGAGUAUACUAAGGUGCGCGAGAUAACUCUCUCUAAGGAACUCGGCAAAAUAGCCUCGUAACUUCGGGAGAAGAGGUACCCUGGUAGCGUGUAGCGAUUUACUCGUGAAGCGUGAUAGGGUCGCAGCGAAAUGAUCCAGGCGACUGUUUACCAAAAACACAGGUCUCUGCUAAGUCGAUCAAGACGAUGUAUAGGGGCUGACGCCUGCCCGGUGUCGGAAGGUUACGUGGAAGGGUUAGAGGUCUCCUCGAAGCUCUGAAACUAAGCCCCGAUGAACGGCGGCCGUAACUAUAACGGUCCUAAGGUAGCGAAAUUCCUUGUCAGGUA
rnacentral:rRNA from 1 species